rnacentral:misc_RNA from 1 species
UGUAGGAGCUGGCUUGCCUGCGAUAGCGGUGUAUCAGUGACAGAUGGGCCAACUGACCCACCGCUAUCGCAGGCAAGCCAGCUCCCACA